rnacentral:rRNA from 1 species
AGUUCGUGGAGUGAUUUGUCUGCUUAAUUGCGAUAACGAACGAGACCUUAACCUGCUAAAUAGUUAUGCCCGGGAUUUCUGUGGCGGAAGACAUUGUCGGAAGCCCACCGGGUAGAAAUACUUCUUAGAGGGACAGCUGGGUUCUAUAAACCAGAGGAAGUUUGAGGCAAUAACAGGU